rnacentral:rRNA from 1 species
UACGGAGGGGGCUAGCGUUGUUCGGAAUUACUGGGCGUAAAGCGCACGUAGGCGGCUUUGUAAGUUAGAGGUGAAAGCCCGGGGCUCAACUCCGGAAUUGCCUUUAAGACUGCAUCGCUAGAAUUGUGGAGAGGUAAGUGGAAUUCCGAGUGUAGAGGUGAAAUUCGUAGAUAGUUGGGGAAGAAACACCGGUGGCGAAGGCGGCGACCUGGUCCUUGACUGACGCGAGGCGCGAAAGCGUGGG